rnacentral:rRNA from 1 species
AGCGAACGCUGGCGGCAGGCCUAACACAUGCAAGUCGAACGAACUCUUCGGAGUUAGUGGCGGACGGGUGAGUAACACGUGGGAACGUGCCUUUUGGUUCGGAAUAACUCAGGGAAACUUGUGCUAAUACCGAAUGUGCCCUUCGGGGGAAAGAUUUAUCGCCAUUAGAGCGGCCCGCGUCUGAUUAGCUAGUUGGUGAGGUAACGGCUCACCAAGGCGACGAUCAGUAGCUGGUCUGAGAGGAUGACCAGCCACACUGGGACUGAGACACGGCCCAGACUCCGACGGGAGGGAGCAGUGGGGAAUCUUGCGCAAUGGGGGAAAGCCUGACGCAGCCAUGCCGCGUGAAUGAUGAAGGUCUUAGGAUUGUAAAAUUCUUUCACCGGGGACGAUAAUGACGGUACCCGGAGAAGAAGCCCCGGCUAACUUCGUG